CGCACAGGGAGUGGCGGUGGGGGAGGAAUGGAACUGUAAUUGUAGCCUCACAGAGGCUAGAGCCAGAGGCCUUCGAGAUCAUUUGGUGAGGAAACCAGAGACGCAGAGCCAUGUCAGGAAGGCAGUAACAGGCAAGGAGAGGGCAGGUCUGGAUUCUACCCUGUCCUCUGGUCACCGAGGCCAGUGCUCCUUCCAUACAAUAAACUUUAUCAAUCUCCUAAAACUACGGGACCAUUUCCUUAGAGGAGUAUCUGCUGUGGAGUACUGGAUCAAUAACCAGUGGACUCAGACAGUGAUCGUUACAUAUUAGUUGCUAAUAAAUAUCUGAAGACAAUCAAGAGCCGCUGAAGAGUUUUAAGCAGAAUGUCUGAGGGGCCAAGAGAUAUCAAGUCCUCCUUGUGCAGAAGGGAAAGCCGGAACUCCAAGAAGUACAGAGACUUGCCCAAGGACUGAGCUAGAGAGCAUCAGAGACAGCCAAGAAUAAAGUCUCCCUCCCCCUUCUAUUAGGAAUUCCUUUAAAUUUCUCCCAAUCUUAUUAACACAGGAAUAGAAGUGGGAGGUAGCAGGUGAAGCCAGGAAUUUUAAGUCAUAGAGCCAAUUUCAGCUACAAGCCCCAUCCCCAUUUCCCCAGC